rnacentral:rRNA from 1 species
CCUACGGGGGACAGCAGUGAGGAAUAUUGGACAAUGGGCGAAAGCCUGAAGCAGCGAAGCCGCGUGAGGGAUGAAGGUUCUAGGGAUGGUAAGCCUCUUUUAUAAGGGAAUAAAGUGCGGGACGUGUCCCGUUUUGUAUGUACCUUAUGAAUAAGGAUCGGCUAACUCCGUGCCAGCAGCCGCGGUAAUACGGAGGAUCCGGGCGUUAUCCGGAUUUAGUGGGUUUAAAGGGUGCGUAGGCGGCCUGUUAAGUCAGCGGUGAAAGUCUGUGGCUCAACCAUAGAAUUGCCGUUGAAACUGGGCGGCUUGAGUAUGUUUGAGGCAGGCGGAAUGCGUGGUGUAGCGGUGAAAUGCUUAGAUAUCACGCAGAACCCCGAUUGCGAAGGCAGCCUGCCAGGCCAUGACUGACGCUGAUGCACGAAAGCGUGGGGAUCAAACAGGAUUAGAUACCCUUGUAGUC